rnacentral:RNase_P_RNA from 1 species
GCGCGAUGGCAGAUGAUCGCUGGCGAGUCGUGAGGCUCGCUGGAGGAAAGUCCGAACACCAGACGGCAGCAUGCCACGUAGAAGACGCGGGCGUCGCAGUUGUAAAACUGCGGCGACGGAAAGUGUCACAGAAAAUAUACCGUCCCGCUCUGCGGGAUAAGGGUGAAAUGGCGAGGUAAGAGCUCACCGCGUCGCGCGCAAGCGAGACGGCAGGAAAAACCCCAUGCGGUGCAAGACAGAACAGAGGGAGGGCAGCCGGUCCGACCAAGGUCCCGAAGAAAUUCGGGAUUUAAUCCUCGGGUUUCGUCGCAUCACGUUUCGCCUCCGGGCGAAGCGGGCGGCUCACGCGAGUGGGCUGAGAUAAAUGAUCAUCCGCUCGAGCAAUCGAGCGACAGAAUUCGGCUUAUCGCCGUCACAAACGA